rnacentral:rRNA from 1 species
GACGUGGGGUGCAAUCGUUGUCCGGAAUCACUGGGCGUAAAGCGUCUGUAGGUGGUGAUGCAAGUUACUUGUGCAAAACUCUGGCUCAACCGGAGGGAAGCCAGUGAAACUGCAGGACUAGAGUGUGGGAGAGGUAGAAGGAAUUCCCUGAGUAGCGGUGAAAUGCGUAGAUACAGGGAAGAACACCGGAGGCGAAAGCGUUUUACUGGCACACAACUGACACUGAGAGACGAAAGCUAGGGGAGAGAAUGGG